rnacentral:lncRNA from 1 species
CAAGGUUCAGAGAGGAGGGUUGUUCUUUUAACUCCAGCCUUGAUUUUCGAAGAGGUAAGUUGUAGCUUGAACUUCCCCAUUCUUCCAUAGUUCACCUGCAUUCGUUAAGGAAUCAUUUUAUUUCAGUUAUUCUCCUUCUGAAAUCAAUAGCAGCAGCCACCAAACACCAAACAAUUACAAGGUAAUUGCUAAACUCAGUUAUUCUAGUCAAUGUUACAUGCUCAUACCCAUCAAGGCAUCUUUUAACUAAAAAAAUAACUGAGUUCAUAAAUGAGUCUAUAUACUUAAGGGGCUUAGCAAUCACAAAGUCAGUAAGAACUCUUAUGAUAUAGAAACAACUACAUGCUUAGUUUAAUCUCUUGCAUAAUCGAAAAUAGGAAUCAAGAUGAUUUAUGGCCUGCACCAAAUUGGAAAAACAACUAGGCGUCGCGAACCAUGUACAGAUAUGCAAUAGAGCCUCCCAGCAACAUAUAUGCAAUAAUAAAAUGGCAGCAAGAAGUGAGUGACGUAUACAAAACAAAUCCCUAUUAUACUGUAGAAAUAAGUUCGAACUUAGCUUUGCCUUGAAUGAUGCUGGCUCGCCGGAGUUCGAGCAGGGGCAGCGAUGGUUCAGAAGCCGGAGCAGCGGCUUCAGCAAGAUAGUAUCUUGCUGAAGAAUGGGGAGAGCGGCGCCAGGGACAAACGGCGACCGCUAGUCGCUGGGUUUACAGACCCAACAACGACGACUGAUCUGCUACAACACGGGGAAGAGAGGAGCAGUCGAAUUUGUUUCCGGUUGAGUAAUUUAGCGUCGGCCUCGCCGGAUUUUCAGAUUCGAGGUGACGGCGCUGCGAUUUCAGAGAAAGAGCCAAGGGCACGACGACUCCCAACGACCCUCGCCGAUUCUGAACCAGCAGCAGCGUAGCUGAACCGAGAGGGGACGACGCCGGGGUUAGACACGGAGACAGCCAAUGCUGGAUGGAGCUGGCGGAAGUUGAACGGCCGGGGAAGGAGAAGCCGACUGGAGUUGAAAGGGAAGGCCGAUCUGAUUUUGGGGGAGAAAACCCGUUUGAAACUUCAAGGGAGAAUUGGGGCUUUGCUUUUCCUUCGUGGAAGAGACGAGGAGCGAGGCGGGCUGCUGGAGAUCAGACCAGCGACCUCGAUUCCGGGCAAAGCAGCUGCAACUCCGGGCGGCGGCGUUACCUCAGCAGCGGCGACGUCCGGCGAUAGAGCUUCCACGCGUGUCGGCGGACGGCGGCGGUUGCACCAGAUCUUCACCGAUAUUAGAGGCAUCGACCACGCCGGUUGAGAGAAGCGGCACUGGAGUUUUAGAGCCUCGGAAACAGCGGCCUGCUUCGCCGGAGAAGAUCCGCGACGGCGGCGAUUUGAGAAAUGAAGGAGUUAGGGUUCAAUUCCUGAUUUUGAUUGAGCAUAACUUGAGUAGAGAGAAGACAAGGCCGUUGAAGGCGUAGGCUUCGCCGGAUUAUCAGGAGCCGCCGCCGCGACUGCGACAAUCGACGAACGGCGACAGAUUUGGGCAUGUGCCUGUGAGCGGAACCAAGCGAGAGAGGGAGAGGUUUGCUGCGAGUGUGUGUGUAAUUAGAGAGAGGAAGACCGAUUGAUGAGAGAGAGAAAUGGGCUGAUUGGAAUUGGGCCUUUAUUUUCUUAAUUAUGGGCCAUUAUUUUAUUUCUUUCUGUUAGGUCAGUUUAUUUAUUUCAGAUGGGCCGCAUUCUUGGACCAGUAUUAAUAGAAAUGGGCUGAUCUUUUUAAGAGCUGUAUAUUUAAGCUGGGCCAGAGUUAGAAUGGACUGUAUGAUUAGAUGGUUUCCAGGCCCAGUUCCUUAUCUAUUUAUUUGGGCUGUCCUAUGUUGCUCCCUUUAAAUAAUGAGGUUGCCUUAUUAUUUUAUUCUAGUUCGAUUAAAGACUAGUCUAGAUUUGAUUAAUUGGAUUCAGCUAUUUAUUAAUUUAGGACGAGGUUAUUAAUUAGUAAAUGGGUUUAGCAAACCUAUGAGAUGAGUGGUUAAUUAAGAUUAAUAACUCAAUCUCAUAAGACGAGCUGUAAUCAUAUAGUUUGGAUUAUUAUUAGAAUUUUUUUCAGAUUAUUAUCCCAGAAUAAUAAUUAAAGGAAUAUGAGUCAUGCAUAUUUAUUUUACGCAUUCUCAUUUAUUUGAGAAUUUUCAUCGAGCUAAGGUUUGACCUUAUGUUCUCGCAUUCAAGGUUAAGCGCAAGAGUAAGAGCUAGUCAAUGAGUUACUGAACUGUAGCAAAGCUUCACUAUCAGGUGGGCAUUACUUUUACUAUACGUAUAUAGAGAUCCCCUGCGUGUCGUAGGCCUCUUAUACGAAUGAAUGCAUGAGAUGAUCUAACUGUUAAUUUCAGUUUCAUAUAUAUCAAAUGAGUUUAAAUGUUACGUUCAAGCAAGUUAUUUCAUGACAAAAUCUUUGAGUUAAAGUUAUUUCAACUAUUGUCUUGCCAUAAAAUGUUUCAAUUUUAGUAUGAUAUCUAUCUGCUUUGGCUUUGCCAAUGAUGCAAUCGAAUUCGGGUCUUGAGCAGUUGAUAGCUAUCCUGCCAGGGCUAGUGUACACCAGUGACCGUGAGUCAUCUAGCGGGUUGGCCGGUCAAGUGACCGUGAGAGGUGGCCACCUCUCCGGCACACAGUUCCAGAUAUGAUAGAUUACAAGAGAACUUAGACUGCAGUCGAACUUUAAGAAUCACAAAUGAACUUAGUAAGCUUGGGCCUUUUUAGCGAAAAACUCCCUUGCUGUACUGUUUAUGAUGGCAUGACAAUUUACAGUUUUGAAGCAUGUAUUUUUAUACUUAGGCAUACGUGCCCACUGAGUACUUUUGUACUCAGCCCUGCAUAUAUUUCUAAAUGUGCAGGUUGAGUAGCUGCCGAUGGUGAUGAAGUGACGAACGGGACUCUUUUGUCUUAUUAUGUAUUAAUGAACUCUAGGGAUACAUGUCUUCAUACAUGUAAUCAGAACCUUAUUCCGCUGCGUACUCAGAAGUUUUAUGUUAUUUUGGCUAAGUCGGAGUUAUCCGAACUUACUAGUUAUUUGAGUCUAUACGACUAAACCUCCGUUAUAUUAUAAAUAUCCCUUUUGUUAAAAAUGAUGAAAUGCGAUUCUUCCUUGUUUGAUUAUUUCCCUUUCUACCCCGCUUCUAAUCUCCCUCCAUUAGUCACGGUUUCCCCGGCUUAAUUAUCCUUAAUUAGGGCCGG